UUUCCGUAGGCGAACCUGCGGAAGGAUCAUUCAUAAUAAAGUGUUUUAUGGCACUUUUUAAAAAUCCAUAUCCACCUUGUGUGCAAUGUUAGAUCUCGUCAAUCUUGGCGAGGUUUUUAUACAUCAACUCAUUCUUUAACUAAUUUGUCUGAAAAAUAUUAUGAAUACUUAAUUCAAAAUACAACUUUCAACAACGGAUCUCUUGGCUCUC
rnacentral:misc_RNA from 1 species